rnacentral:lncRNA from 1 species
CCUUCCCUUUUCGCUUGGAGUUUUUCUCCGCUAAAGUCGAGGCGAAGUUCGGCUCCCGUGGGAGUCCGGGCGGAGCCUUCCUUGGCGUCGUGGACAGAGCCCGGCUCCCGUAGGAGUCAGGGCGAAGUCUUCCUGCAAUCAAAGUCAUAGGCGAAGUCCGGCUCCCGUAGGAGUCCGGACAAGGCUUACCGGCAGUUGCUGUUGUCGGCGGAGUCCGGCUCCCGUAGGAGUCCGGACGGAGUUGGCCUGUAGUCGAUGUCGGUGAUGGAGCCCGGCUCCCGUAGGAGUCCGGGC